GCGAAAACUUUACAAUGCGGGAAACCGUGAUAAGGGGACACCGAGUGCCAGCAUCAUAUGCUGGCUGUCCGGGUGUGUAAAAUACACCUGUUAGCAAGGGCCGGGCAAGACCGGUGCCAGCCGCCGCGGUAACACCGGCGGCCCGAGUGGUGAUCGUGAUUAUUGGGUCUAAAGGGUCCGUAGCCGGUUUGGUCAGUCCUCCGGGAAAUCUGACGGCUUAACCGUUAGGCUUUCGGAGGAUACCGCCAGGCUUGGAACCGGGAGAGGUAAGAGGUACUACAGGGGUAGGAGUGAAAUCUUGUAAUCCCUGUGGGACCACCUGUGGCGAAGGCGUCUUACCAGAACGGGUUCGACGGUGAGGGACGAAAGCUGGGGGCACGAACCGGAUUAGAUACCCGGGUAGUCCCAGCCGUAAACGAUGCGCGUUAGGUGUAUCGGUGACCACGAGUCACCGACGUGCCGAAGAGAAAUCGUGAAACGUGCCGCCUGGGAAGUACGGUCGCAAGGCUGAAACU
rnacentral:rRNA from 1 species